GGAUAGCUCAACUGGUAGAGCACGAGACUCUUAAUCUUAGAGUUGUGGGUUCAAGCCCCACAUUGGCCA